GAUGAACGCUGGCGGCGUGCCUAAUACAUGCCAGUCGAGCGAACGGACGAGAAGCUUGCUUCUCUGAUGUUAGCGGCGGACGGGUGAGUAACACGUGGAUAACCUACCUAUAAGACUGGGAUAACUUCGGGAAACCGGAGCUAAUACCGGAUAAUAUUUUGAACCGCAUGGUUCAAAAGUGAAAGACGGUCUUGCUGUCACUUAUAGAUGGAUCCGCGCUGCAUUAGCUAGUUGGUAAGGUAACGGCUUACCAAGGCAACGAUGCAUAGCCGACCUGAGAGGGUGAUCGGCCACACUGGAACUGAGACACGGUCCAGACUCCUACGGGAGGCAGCAGUAGGGAAUCUUCCGCAAUGGGCGAAAGCCUGACGGAGCAACGCCGCGUGAGUGAUGAAGGUCUUCGGAUCGUAAAACUCUGUUAUUAGGGAAGAACAUAUGUGUAAGUAAAUGUGCACAUCUUGACGGUACCUAAUCAGAAAGCCACGGCUAACUACGUG
rnacentral:rRNA from 1 species